rnacentral:rRNA from 1 species
AUUGAACGCUGGCGGCAGGCCUAACACAUGCAAGUCGAGCGGAUGAAGGGAGCUUGCUCCUGGAUUCAGCGGCGGACGGGUGAGUAAUGCCUAGGAAUCUGCCUGGCAGUGGGGGAUAACGUCCGGAAACGGGCGCUAAUACCGCAUACGUCCUGAGGGAGAAAGUGGGGGAUCUUCGGACCUCACGCUAUCAGAUGAGCCUAGGUCGGAUUAGCUAGUUGGUGGGGUAAAGGCCUACCAAGGCGACGAUCCGUAACUGGUCUGAGAGGAUGAUCAGUCACACUGGAACUGAGACACGGUCCAGACUCCUACGGGAGGCAGCAGUGGGGAAUAUUGGACAAUGGGCGAAAGCCUGAUCCAGCCAUGCCGCGUGUGUGAAGAAGGUCUUCGGAUUGUAAAGCACUUUUAGUUGGGAGGAAGGGCAGUAAGUUAAUACCUGGCUGUUUUGACGGUACCAACAGAAUAAGCACCGGCUAACUUCGUG